rnacentral:rRNA from 1 species
CCAAGAAUAUAGCCUUCCCCAUCCAAACCCACCCUCAAACUAAAAAUCAAAAUAUUUUAACAACCUAGUAAAGAAGAUUGAAAAACUUUUAAGAGCAAUAAACAUGUACCGCAAGGGAAAAAUGAAAUAAAAAUGAAAUAAGUUUCAAGCACAAAGAAAUAGAGAUCCCCCCUCGUACCUUUUGCAUCAUGGUUUAGCUAGUCCAAUUAGGCAGAAAGCCCUUUAAGUCUAACCCCCCGAAACUAAGUGAGCUAUUUUAGGGCUGCUUAAUGAGCUAACCCGUCUAUGUUGAAAAAUAGUGGGACGACCCUAAAAUAGAGGUGAAAAACCUAACGAACUUAGUUAUAGCUGGUUUCUCAAGAAAAGAAUUUUAGUCCAACCUAAAGUAUAACGCAUACACACAAAUCACCCUCCUACUUUAGAGCAAUUCAAAUAAGGUACAGCCUAUUUGAUACAGGACCCAACCUUGACCAAUGGGUAAUACUCAACACACGUCUACAAGUAGGCCUAAGAACAGCCACCUUUUAAAAAGCGUCAAAGCUUAACCAUGUUUACUCCAAUUCCUUAACCCCCAUCGACCCCUUCAACUGUACUGAGAAUUUCUAUACUAUUAUAGAACCUUUUAUGCUAAAACUAGUAACAAGAGUUAACCCCUCUCCACAAUGCAAAUGUAAGCCAGCGAGAACCCACCACCGGCAACUAACAGACCUAAACAAAAGUAGCAACCACACUAGAAAAUUCUACUCUACUCAACUGUUAACCUAACACCAGAGCAUUUCAAGAAAGAUUAAAAGAAAAAGAAGGAACUCGGCAAAUAUUAGCCCCGCCUGUUUACCAAAAACAUCGCCUCUUGCCCAUAUAAGAGGUCUAGCCUGCCCAGUGACUCUUGUUCAACGGCCGCGGUAUCCUA